AAAUAAUGGCAAAAGGUAAGUAGACUGAUUCUACCCUGAGGUGCACAUGGUUAUCUCUAUUCUCUACUGUUAACA
rnacentral:sRNA from 1 species